AAGUGAGAGAGAACUCCCCCUGCCUGACUGUUGAGCGCAGACAUCAGCCUUUCCCUGCUUUUGGACAGGAACUGAAGCACCAGCUCUUCCUGGGUCUUCAGUCUGCUGGCUUUCAGACUGGAACAUUCACCAUCAGGUGCCUUCAGACUCGGACUGGAGCUACACCAUUUGCUCUCCUUGGUCUCCAACUUGCCGACUCACCCUGCAGAUCCUGGGACUUGUCAGCCUCCAUGUCAUGUGAGCCAAUUUUGUAGAAUAAAUCUUUUUAUGUAUCUG